ACUCACCGAGGUCGUCUCAUAGCGGGAGGGCAGGUCCUUCCGCUCCUUCGUUCUAGAGCCCAUGAUGGGUUUUUGGCGCUGCAGUACGACGACCGCUACACUCCUUUACUACAGAUGGCUGGCCUCGAUGUCAUCUCGUAUCAGGUUCGUCGUGGGAUGCCCAGGUUCAAUUCAGCGGCUAUAACUGCGUUGGUUGACAGGUGGCGACCCGAGACUCACAGCUUUCACCUCCCGUUCGGAGAGAUGACAGUGACCCUACAGGACUGUCAGAAGA